ACGCACGCUGGCGGCGUGCUUCACACAUGCCAGUCGCACGGAAAGGCCCUGCUUGCAGGGUACUCGAGUGGCGAACGGGUGAGUAACACGUGGGUGAUCUGCCCUGCACUUCGGGAUAAGCCUGGGAAACUGGGUCUAAUACCGGAUAGGAGCCAUUUUUAGUGUGAUGGUUGGAAAGUUUUUUCGGUGUAGGAUGAGCUCGCGGCCUAUCAGCUUGUUGGUGGGGUAAUGGCCUACCAAGGCGGCGACGGGUAGCCGGCCUGAGAGGGUGGACGGCCACAUUGGGACUGAGAUACGGCCCAGACUCCUACGGGAGGCAGCAGUGGGGAAUAUUGCACAAUGGGCGCAAGCCUGAUGCAGCGACGCCGCGUGGGGGAUGACGGCCUUCGGGUUGUAAACUCCUUUCGCUAGGGACGAAGCUUUUUGUGACGGUACCUAGAUAAGAAGCACCGGCUAACUACGU
rnacentral:rRNA from 1 species